rnacentral:rRNA from 1 species
UGCAGUCGAGCGGACAGAAGGGAGCUUGCUCCCGGAUGUUAGCGGCGGACGGGUGAGUAACACGUGGGUAACCUGCCUGUAAGACUGGGAUAACUCCGGGAAACCGGAGCUAAUACCGGAUAGUUCCUUGAACCGCAUGGUUCAAGGAUGAAAGACGGUUUCGGCUGUCACUUACAGAUGGACCCGCGGCGCAUUAGCUAGUUGGUGGGGUAAUGGCUCACCAAGGCAACGAUGCGUAGCCGACCUGAGAGGGUGAUCGGCCACACUGGGACUGAGACACGGCCCAGACUCCUACGGGAGGCAGCAGUAGGGAAUCUUCCGCAAUGGACGAAAGUCUGACGGAGCAACGCCGCGUGAGUGAUGAAGGUUUUCGGAUCGUAAAGCUCUGUUGUUAGGGAAGAACAAGUGCGAGAGUAACUGCUCGCACCUUGACGGUACCUAACCAGAAAGCCACGGCUAACUACGUGCCA